AACGCGAAGAACCUUACCAGGUCUUGGCAUCCCUUGCAUAACCUAGAGAUAGGUGAAGCCCUUCGGGGCAAGGAGACAGGUGGUGCAUGGUUGUCCUCAGCUCGUGUCGUGAGAUGUUGGGUUAAGUCCCGCAACGAGCGCAACCCUUACUAUUAGUUGCUACGCAAGAGCGCUCUAAUGGGACUGCCGUUGACAAAACGGAGGAAGGUGGGGAUGACGUCAAAUCAUCACGCCCUUUAUGACCUGGGCUACACACGUAAUACAAUGGCGCUUAACAGAGGGGUGCGAAAGAGCGAUCUGGAGCAAAUCCCCAAAAAGCGUCUCAGUUCGGGUCGCAGGCUGCAACUCGCCUGCGUGAAGUCGGAAUUGCUAGUAAUCGCGGAUCAGCACGCCGCGGUGAAUACGUUCCCGGGUCUUGUACACACCG
rnacentral:rRNA from 1 species